UGUUAGCAUAGAUUAAUGAUU
ensembl:piRNA 21ur-1645 ncRNA